AUUGAACGCUGGCGGCAUGCCUUACACAUGCAAGUCGAACGGCAGCACGGGAGCAAUCCUGGUGGCGAGUGGCGAACGGGUGAGUAAUACAUCGGAACGUGCCCAGUAGUGGGGGAGUAGCCCGGCGAAAGCCGGAUUAAUACCGCAUACGACCUAUGGGUGAAAGCGGGGGAGUCGCAAGACCUCGCGCUAUUGGAGCGGCCGAUGGCAGAUUAGCUUGUUGGUGGGGUAAAAGGCCUACCAAGGCGACGAUCUGUAGCUGGUCUGAGAGGACGACCAGCCACACUGGGACUGAGACACGGCCCAGACUCCUACGGGAGGCAGCAGUGGGGAAUUUUGGACAAUGGGCGCAAGCCUGAUCCAGCCAUGCCGCGUGCGGGAAGAAGGCCU
rnacentral:rRNA from 1 species